rnacentral:rRNA from 1 species
UACAGAGGGUGCGAGCGUUGUUCGGAAUCACUGGGCGUAAAGCGCACGUAGGCGGAUGUGUCAGUCAGGGGUGAAAUCCCGGAGCUCAACUUCGGAACUGCCUUUGAUACAGCACGUCUUGAGUCCGAUAGAGGUGGGUGGAAUUCCUAGUGUAGAGGUGAAAUUCGUAGAUAUUAGGAAGAACACCGGUGGCGAAGGCGGCCCACUGGAUCGGUACUGACGCUGAGGUGCGAAAGCGUGGGGAGCAAACAGG